rnacentral:tRNA from 1 species
GCGCCUGUAGCUCAGCUGGAUAGAGUACCCGGCUUCGAACCGGUGGUCGGGGGUUCGAGUCCCUCCGGGCGCGCCA